rnacentral:rRNA from 2 species
AACACGACUCUCGGCAACGGAUAUCUCGGCUCUCGCAUCGAUGAAGAACGUAGCAAAAUGCGAUACCUGGUGUGAAUUGCAGAAUCCCGCGAACCAUCGAGUUUUUGAACGCAAGUUGCGCCCAAAGCCUUCUGGCCGAGGGCACGUCUGCCUGGGCGUCAUGC